ACCAAUCCUUUAAAUAUCAGUUUUCAAAAUCUUUUCAUAUUCUUUACUUAUUGUUAUCUGGCUCCAGGACAUACCACUCCAAUAAGUGAUUUGAAAUGCCAAAUGCCAAUGAUGACCUGACAGUCAGCCCUCUGUACACAUUUUUAGUGGUCUAAGCUCAAGUCUGCUCUCUGCAACAAACAUUUUACAUCCCGCUGUUAGUCAUUCCAAUCCUAGCUUCUUCAAUGAACAGAAACCAUAGAAAGCAAAACCAGAACUCCUUUCAGCUCAGGCACAUAGAAACUGGACCUCUUCUAGCCUUCUCCUCAAAGCAAGCCAUCAAGCCUGGAAACGUCUGAUCCAGCUUCCCGGAAAGCAAGUCAUAAAACGGUCCAUUUAGUGAGCUCUUGAUCCAUUUGUGGGGGAGGUACUCCCCAUAGAGAGACCAUGCAAAAUCUAAACUGACCUCUCUAUCCAGUGAUGGUUCUCCAUAACUAUCCAUUUUUUCAUCAGCUCCACAGACAAAUUGUUUCAUUUUUGAAAGGACUAUUGUCAUUGAAACGUUGAUUAAUGCUAUGUUUUUCUUUUGUCAAUCUGUCUUUUAUUUUAAGAGUGUCAAUCAGGGCCCUUUAAUCUGUAUUUUUUCUUUUUUUUGUCCUAUGAAGAAUUACUGAGGAAUCAAUUCAGAAAGGUUUGCUGAAAAUGAUCACAAAAGAGACAAAGCUUCCUCAAAGGCUUAGAUAAAAGAAAUCAUUGUAUAUUUGUAGAGGUCUAUUGCUCUGUUAAAGAAAACAUCAAUUCAUUAAAAGUUUCUUCAUGUUCUUAGUUUUAAAUUACAUGCAGAAGUUAUUUUAUGAUGAGAAUAAAAUAAUAAAAUGUUUUAUGUUAU
ensembl:lincRNA